rnacentral:rRNA from 1 species
AGUGAACGCUGGCGGUAGGCCUAACACAUGCAAGUCGAACGGCAGCACAGUACAAGCUUGCUCUUACGGGUGGCGAGUGGCGGACGGGUGAGGAAUACAUCGGAAUCUACUUUUUCGUGGGGGAUAACGUAGGGAAACUUACGCUAAUACCGCAUACGACCUACGGGUGAAAGCAGGGGAUCUUCGGACCUUGCGCGAUUGAAUGAGCCGAUGUCGGAUUAGCUAGUUGGCGGGGUAAAGGCCCACCAAGGCGACGAUCCGUAGCUGGUCUGAGAGGAUGAUCAGCCACACUGGAACUGAGACACGGUCCAGACUCCUACGGGAGGCAGCAGUGGGGAAUAUUGGACAAUGGGCGCAAGCCUGAUCCAGCCAUACCGCGUGGGUGAAGAAGGCCUUCGGGUUGUAAAGCCCUUUUGUUGGGAAAGAAAAGCAGAAGGUUAAUACCCCGCUGUUCUGACGGUACCCAAAGAAUAAGCACCGGCUAACUUCGUG